rnacentral:rRNA from 1 species
GACGAACGCUGGCGGCGUGCCUAAUACAUGCAAGUCGAACGCAGUGGGGACGGGUGCGUAACAAGUGGGUAACCUCCCAUCAGAGGGGAUAACACUUGGCAACAGGUGCUAAACCGAUACUGAUGGAUGAACCCGCGGUGCAUUAGCUAGUUGGUGAGGUAACGGCUCACCAAGGCCACGAUGCAUAGCCGGCCUGAGAGGGUGAUCGGCCACACUGGGACUGAGACACGGCCCAGACUCCUACGGGAGGCAGCAGUGGGGAAUAUUGCGCAAUGGACGAAAGUCUGACCGAGCAACGCCGCGUGAAUGAAGAAGGUUUUCGGGUCGUAAAGCUCUGUUGUUAGGGAAGCGUUACCUAACCAGAAAGCCACGGCUAACUACGUGCCAGCCGCCGCGGUAAUAC